UAUUUGUUACCAUUCUAUCAUAUAUCGAACAACUGAUUAUUCUCAUUUCCUUGUUUCAGGUGGUUUGACCAGAGGUUUGUGGCGGUCCAGUUUACAGGAAACUUUUAUGCUUAAACCAAGAGGAUGCUAUAGAUGGAGCUAAUCUGCGACAGCCUGCAUGUGGAGCUGAGCAUCACUCUCCUGCCCUGUGCACGGAACACUGCAGAUGCCAACACUGAUGGGACAUGAAAUUCUGCCCAUGGCACUCCCACGUAUGCUGAUGAGACAAGAACAGACCAGGAAAGGAAAAGAUUCCCUGACCUUUUUUGUGCGAGGUGCAGUGGCGAAAGCACUGCGCAGUGAGGAAUUC
rnacentral:lncRNA from 1 species